GCUCGAGUGGCGAACGGGUGAGUAACACGUGAGUAACCUGCCCUUGACUUUGGGAUAACUUCAGGAAACUGGGGCUAAUACCGGAUAGGAGCUCCUGCUGCGUGGUGGGGGUUGGAAAGUUUCGGCGGUUGGGGAUGGACUCGCGGCUUAUCAGCUUGUUGGUGGGGUAGUGGCUUACCAAGGCUUUGACGGGUAGCCGGCCUGAGAGGGUGACCGGCCACAUUGGGACUGAGAUACGGCCCAG
rnacentral:rRNA from 1 species